rnacentral:rRNA from 1 species
AGUGAACGCUGGCGGCGUGCUUAACACAUGCAAGUCGAGCGAGAUUCAACAGCGUAUCGUUGAGUCUAGCGGCAGACGGGUGAGUAAUACUUGGGACAAUCUGCCCUUGAGUGGGGGACAACCUGCCGAAAGGCGGGCUAAUACCCCAUAAGACCACAGGGUGACAUCAUCUAGAGGUCAAAGCUCCGCAAGGGGCGCUUGAGGAGGAGCCCGAGUCCAUCAUGGUAGUUGGUGAGGUAACGGCUCACCAAGCCUUUGACGGGUAGCGGCCUGAAGGGUGACCGGCCACACUGGCACUGAGACACGGGCCAGACUCCUACGGGAGGCAGCAGUGGGAAUUUUGGACAAUGGGGCAACCCUGAUCCAGCGACGCCGCGUGGAGGACGAAGGUCUUCGGAUUGUAAACUCCUUUUGGAGGGGUAAGAAUGCCUGAGUGAAUAACUCAGGGUGACGGUACUCUCUGAAUAAGCCACGGCUAACUACGUGCCAGCAGCC